CAAGUAACGCGGUCCUACCAUGCAAGUCGAACGAGAAAGUGGAGCAAUCCAUGAGUACAGUGGCGACCGGGUGAGUAACACGUGACUAACCUACCUCCGAGUGGGGAAUAACUCCGGGAAACCGGGGCUAAUACCGCAUAACAUCGCAAGAUCAAAGCAGCAAUGCGCUUGGAGAGGGGGUCGCGGCUGAUUAGCUAGUUGGCGGGGUAACGGCCCACCAAGGCGAAGAUCGGUAUCCGGCCUGAGAGGGCGCACGGACACACUGGAACUGAAACACGGUCCAGACUCCUACGGGAGGCAGCAGUGGGGAAUUUUGCGCAAUGGGGGAAACCCUGACGCAGCAACGCCGCGUGGAGGAUGAAGCCCUUUGGGGCGUAAACUCCUUUCGACUCGGACGAUAAUGACGGUACGAGUGGAAGAAGCACCGGCUAACUCUGUGCCAGCAGCCGCGGUAAUACAGAGGGUGCAAGCGUUGUUCGGAAUUAUUGGGCGUAAAGGGCGCGUAGGCGGUGCGCUAAGUCACCUGUGAAAUCUCCCGGCUUAACUGGGAGCCUGCAGGCGAAACUAGCGUGCUGGAGUGUGGGAGAGGUGCGUGGAAUUCCCGGUGUAGCGGUGAAAUGCGUAGAUAUCGGGAGGAACACCUGUGGCGAAAGCGGCGCACUGGACCAUAACUGACGCUGAGGCGCGAAAGCUAGGGGAGCAAACAGGAUUAGAUACCCAGGUAGUCCUAGCCCUAAACGGUGAUUGCUUGGUGUAGCAGGUACCCAAUCCUGCUGUGCCGCAGCUAACGCGAUAAGCAAUCCGCCUGGGGGAGUACGGUCGCAAGGGCUGAACUCAAGGAAUUUGACGGGGGCCCGCACAAGCGGUGGAGCAUGUGGUUCCAUUUCGACGCAACGCGAGGAUCUACUUGGGCUCGAAGCGGCAGUUGAACCGGGGGGGUUA
rnacentral:rRNA from 1 species